UACAGAGGGUGCGAGCGUUAAUCGGAAUUACUGGGCGUAAAGCGCGCGUAGACGGUUUUGUAAGUCAGAUGUGAAAUCCCUGGGCUCAACCUGGGAACUGCAUUUGAGACUGCAUGGCUAGAGUAUCGAAGAGGGAAGUGGAAUUUCCGGUGUAGCGGUGAAAUGCGUAGAUAUCGGAAGGAAGACCAGUGGCGAAGGCGGAUCUCUGGACAAAUCCUGACGCUGAGGCGCGAAGGCUAGGGGAGCAAACGGG
rnacentral:rRNA from 1 species